rnacentral:lncRNA from 1 species
UGCUAACUUGUGUUUGACACACUGACAAGGAUAAUAUGGAUAGGCCUACAUAUACGGUUAAUUAAUUUUCUCAGUCAUCUCAAUGGCAAAAAGUGGGGGGCUGGGGGGGUCUGCAGCCUGCCCCUUUAAUUGCCGACGCUAAAGUGCACUUUCGGUCCGAUUAAUCGAGAAGAAAUCCCCGGAUCGCUCUCAUAAUGCCACCCUCCCCUGCACCUCCGGAGGACUGUGCACGCCACUGCCUAGUUUUGACAUGAUUCUUCAUAUUUCGAAAAAAUACUGCAAAGUAAUUAACUGGGUCCGACUAGUUCUGGUGUUCAGUGAGUUUUAUAAUAUUCACAGUAAGCCAUAACUCUGUGGUGUGAAACAUGACAAAAGUACUCACGUUCUCUCCACGCCACACAUAAUUCCGUGUCAGAGCGCGCGGGAAUGUGACCCUCCUGAUGUGAUUCUAACGACCAAAUGCUAGAAAGACGGCGCGAAACUACAGCGUUCACGGAUUGGACGUGCACUUCCGGCACGUUCGCCGAAGAGGCGCAAUCAGGCUGCGCGUUGUUGCGGCGUGUGCGUGCGUGCGUGCGUGCUGACGGACUGACGGAGCCGGUGCGCC